UCGUAACAAGGUCUCCGUUGGUGAACCAGCGGAGGGAUCAUUACCGAGUUAUCC
rnacentral:rRNA from 1 species